AGCAGCCGCGGUAAUUCCAGCUCCAAUAGCGUAUAUUAAAGUUGUUGCAGUUAAAAAGCUCGUAGUUGAAUUUCGGGAUCAGUAGGUCGGUCAUGCCUCAGGUAUGUACUGGUCUCGCUGGUUCCUCCUUCCUGAUGAACCGUAAUGCCAUUAAUUUGGUGUUGCGGGGAAACUGGACUGUUACUUUGAAAAAAUUAGAGUGUUUAAAGCAGGCUAACGCUUGAAUACAUUAGCAUGGAAUAAUGAAAUAGGACGUUCGAUCCUAUUUUGUUGGUUUCUAGGAUUGACGUAAUGAUUAAUAGGGAUAGUUGGGGGCAUUAGUAUUCAAUUGUCAGAGGUGAAAUUCUUGGAUUUAUUGAAGACUAACUACUGCGAAAGCAUUUGCCAAGGAUGUUUUCAUUAAUCAAGAACGAAAGUUAGGGGAUCGAAGACGAUCAGAUACCGUCGUAGUCUUAACCAUAAACUAUGCCGACUAGGGAUCGGAUGAUGUUAUUUUUAAUGACUCAUUCGGCGCCUUACG
rnacentral:rRNA from 1 species